UUCAAAGUUUGAGCCAAACGACACCACCAUCAUCACUACCUUCAACCAUAAGCAUCGUCAUCAUUUUCACUGUGUUCAAUUACGAAAUCUAACCAUAGUGACCCGAAUAACCAUCACCACUCACAUUGAUUCCAAUUUUGAUUUCCCUUUCCCAUCUUUCAUAAACCCCACUGUUGCCACCUAUUACCACCAAUUGCAUUACCGCACACAACCCCCUUCUCUCUAAUAAACCGAAGAUCUAAACAAGAAGUCACAGAAAAUAGGCUAUAGAGUUCUAUACAUCUGUUUAACUAAGCUAUAUAGUUCUAUGUAUCUCUUUAACUGUGUAUGUGUGUGUUUGUGAUUACAGGUCCUAAAUCUCGACCCUCUCUCUAUAUCUGUCCAUAUCUAGGUUCCGAAUCUUGGCCCUGUCAAUAACCUUCAGUGAUGUUUGGUUUGAAAGAGAAAUAAAGCAUUUUUAUAUUGAUUUACAGGGGAGUGUGGAUGUAGCAGGGAAUGAGUAAGGGGUAUAUUGGUCAUUUUGAAGAAAACAAUGAAUUGGUGUGCAUAUAACUGUAUAUGUUUGUGGCUGUGGCAGAGUCUUCAAGUUUUCUAUUUCACAUUCUUCUGCAAGUUCUAACCUAAAGUUUUGAGUUGGGAGACUAGAAAUUAUUAAAAAACUGAGCACUCUGCCAUGUUUAUACUAUUGAAUAUCUUUAGGUGCUGCUUGGGUAUGCUCUAUUACAAACUAUUACACCCAAUGCUUUUUGAAUUCGGAUUCUUUCAGGCCUACGGGUAUGUAUAUAAGUCUGAAGAUAACAUUAAAAUGCCUCCGCUUCUGUUUUGAUCCGUACCCAUUCAAUCCUAAAAAAUCUUAGUAAGUUCCUUUUAAACUAUAUUGUAGGAAAUUUAGAAUUUUCCACUUGGAUUCAAAGGAAAAAGGUAUUGUGUAAGCAUAUAUGUCCCUUUCUUUAUACCCUGUAUUCAAUUGUGAGUUUAAAGGAAAAAUGUUUUUUUGUUUUGAGUCAAAUGCAGCUUUGAUUUUGACUCUUUUGAGUAAUAUGUUGCCUGUGUUUUCACUCUGAAAACUUGUGUUUUUUUUUAUAUUGUGAAGGUAAAAGUAACGUUUAGUAUUAAUGUUUUACAACUAAAUUCAAACUAAUCAUCAAUAAUAGUGUUUGAUAGGCAAGUUCAAAGUAAUUUAAAUUACUUUUGGUUGAGUUCUUUUUUUGGGUUUAAAAUGAUAUCAUUCUAUUUGUUGGGGUUGAUGUAUGU